GUCAACCUGUGCACCAGGAGGUUGCUGGUUCAAUUCCAGAACUUGUCCUGCUCAUCCAGCUAUUUGAAACCUUCCAACACAUGGGCACCAUUCAGUUU